ensembl:lncRNA
CCUGAUUUCAUUGUAGGGAAUGCUGUGUGAGUGUUUCCCACAGAGCGAGGGUGGCAUCUGCCUAGCUGGAGGGCUGGCAGCACACUGAAUCUGCCUGCAGUGGAUUCUGAAACAUAGAAUUGUGGCUAGUGGGAUGUCAAACAGGAUGAGACUGAGAGCUGCUUGCCGUGAUGGAGGAGACCUGGGUUCAAUCCCUGUGUUGGGAAGAUCCGCUAGAGAAGGGAACGGCUACCCACUCCAGUAUUCUGGCCUUGAGAAUUCCAUGGACGGAGCAGCCUGGCAGGCUGCACUCCAUGGGGGAUCGCAAAGAGUCAGACAUGACUGAGCAACUUUCACUUUCACUUUUCAGGGACAAUAAUGGCACCAUUUCAGAGAGUUUGCUGUUGAAUCACUUUGCUGCAUACCUGAAACUAAUACAACCUUGUAAAUCAGC